rnacentral:rRNA from 1 species
UACAGAGGUCUCAAGCGUUGUUCGGAUUCAUUGGGCGUAAAGGGUGUGUAGGUGGCGCGCUAAGUCGGGUGUGAAAUUUCGGAGCUUAACUGCGAAACUGCAUUCGAUACUGGCGUGCUUGAGGACUGGAGAGGAGACUGGAAUUCAUGGUGUAGCAGUGAAAUGCGUAGAGAUCAUGAGGAAGACCAGUGGCGAAGGCGGCAUCCUGGACCGAGAUUGACGCUGAUGCGCGAAAGCCAGGGGAGCAAACGGG